rnacentral:tRNA from 1 species
GGGGAUUUGGCUCAGUGGUAGAGAGCUUGCCUAGCAAGCGCAAGGCCCUGGGUUCGAUCCCCAGCUCCG